GGAGGGCGCAAGCGUUGUUCGGAAUCAUUGGGCGUAAAGCGCGUGUAGGCGGCUUGGCAAGUCGGGUGUGAAAGCCCGGGGCUCAACCCCCGGAAUUGCACUCGAUACUGCCUCGCUAGAGUCCCGGAGAGGGUGGCGGAAUUCCCGGUGUAGAGGUGAAAUUCGUAGAUAUCGGGAGGAACACCAGCGGCGAAGGCGGCCACCUGGACGGUGACUGACGCUGAGACGCGAAAGCGUGGGGAGCAAACAGGAUUAGAUACCCUGGUAGUCCACGCCGUAAACGUUGGGUGCUAGGCGCUGCGGGUAUUGACCCCCUGCAGUGCCGACGUUAACGCAUUAAGCACCCCGCCUGGGGGAGUACGGUCGCAAGAUUA
rnacentral:rRNA from 1 species